GGGGAUGACGGGAAUCGAUGGGAGCUCAUUUCACGGCAUGCAAGUUGAGGAAGUCCGUCACCUCAUUAAUCAACGGACGACAAGACAAGUGCGAACUUCGUCUCUCGGGUGAAGAGCGCGGUCGCGAAAGCGUUCGUGCCUUCAUUCGCUCCGGUUCCCGCCUAACGCGUGAACCCAUCCGCCCCGCCGACGUCCGAUGAGCGGGAAACGGGUGUCGAUUAUCGGACAGAGCCCGUGCGCCUCCCCGACGCACCGGCCGAAAUCGCUCGGGGAUCGGGAUUGCGGCUCUUGGCCGUCUCUGACCGCGCUCCUCAGACACCGAACGGCCUAAGCUUGUAGAGGUGCCUUGUAAAGACUCGCCAGACGGGAGUUCAACUCUCCCCAUCUCCACCA
rnacentral:tmRNA from 1 species